CAGACUGUUGAGAACAGCGUCCAGGUCCGCUCCUAGAACACAGGGCUCUGGGUGCUCAAGGUCUGCAGCCUUCAGGGUCACCAGGCUCACGAAGCAGAAGCAUGAAAUGAUGAGAAUAAGGACCGACCAUGGCCAGGACUGCUGCGGGCAUCGCAGACACUCACGGUAAAGCUGCAGUCGAGAUGCGCCAAAAGUCAAGCAGAAACUGAGAAGAUGUGGAAGGCCUACCAUAUCCGGCUCUCAGGUAACAGCUGUGAGGUGUGCACAAAGGGUCACGCAGGCUGGACACUGCGGGAAUGACCAGAGUGAAACUCCCAGAAAGGAGAUGCCCCCACACAAGCGGGCACCACGGGCAUGGGCCUCCGACACUCACCACACCUGGGCUUAGAGUCUGCAAAACGGCGUGGGUGGGGGGCAGGCAGGAAACAGUAGAAAGGUCAACCGCCAGAGUGCUCCCCAGUUCGAUUUAAAGUACAGGUCAAGUACCCCUUGCCCAGGAAUCUGAAAUGCUCCAAAACCCAGCGUUCUCUGGCUCUGCCACGACACUCAAGUUUUGUAUUUUGAAACAUUUUAAAUUUUUGGAUUAGAGAUGCUCAACCAAUAAAGAACACGUAAAGAUUCCAAAAUCUGCAGAACUUCAAAAUGGAAACACUGUGGUCCCAAAUAGAGCAGAUGGGUAGCAAAUGCGCACAGUCAGCAGACGCAAGACCUGAGUGUGGGGAGAGGGAGGCAGCCGAGGCCGCAGGAUGCAAGAGGGACCAACCGUGAGGAGGAGAUCCGGCAGUGGCAGAUGCAGGAGGCACCGCCCCCCUGUAGGCAGAGAAGGGAACGCAGCCCAGAGCCUGGGGUCCAGGGUAGGAAUGGAGACCCUCCAGGCAACGGGGCCCCAGGGCAGAGGCUCAGUCCUGGGCAGAAGGAGAGAAUCCAGGAAGGGCCGGGAUAAGGCACUGGAGGGGGGCCGCAGCCAGACGCAGGCAGUUCAGGAGGCCGCUGGCUCAGAGAUGAGACAGCGAGGGGCGAGGCACAUCCUGCUGCAGGCUGAUGCUUGUGGCCGGCAGCAGCAGCUUCCCUGGCCCUGGGAGAGAAGCCGAGCAGCGCAGGGUCAGAGCCAGUAGGCCAGAAAGGGGGGCAGAGUGAAAGCCCGCCACCCAGCAGAAAGCAGGGACGGGGCAGCAGACGACAGGCCCAGGCCCUCGGCAGUCGCCGCAGAGUGGAGUUGGAGAAAGCCCCCGCAGGGCCACUGCCUUGGAGGUGUCCACGCGCUCAGGGCCACGGCUUCUGAGCUGCCUCCAGGACGGCGGCUCCGGCUGCCCCAGGGUUCUCCCUGCUCAGCCUGAACCCUGGGCCACCGAAGCGGCUCCUGUCGGAGAGUUGGACGACCACUCCACCAGCCUCCGCCAGCUGAGGCUGGCCUGGCGCACUGAUGGGCAGACCACAACAUGGACGCUGCAGACGGGGUGUCGGCGUUCCCGGUGGACACAGGCCAGGGAAGGGCUGGCCCCCAGGAUGGAAGGUGGAAAACACAGGACGCCAAAACUCCUCCCGCGGCCUACCCUGGCAGAACUGUAAGACUGUUCUGUGGAGUCACACACACAGAAUGAGACUCCGGCCCAAGGCAGGUGCAGGAGGUGCUGGGCACCUUCUGGGCAGGAGAACCAGCUGUGGGUGCUGCCGAGUCACGGUGGUGCAGUUUGCCAGGAGCAGCCCGCAGGCUCCGGUCAGGCCAGCCAGCAGAGGGUGAGUGCCGAGACGAACUCAGGCAGCAGAGCGCAGAGCGGGCUCCCACCAGGAGCCGCAGCCAGGCCACGAGCCCAGAGGCUCUUCUGCCCAGGCCUGGUCAGGCGGCCACUCUGCUCAGGGGACACUCAUUGCUGAGGUGACAGCCCCUGUGGUCCAGGUCAACGCCUACUUGGUCUUUGAGGACGGCCAAGCUGAGGGUCCAGCCCUGGAGAGCCCUGGGAGGGGGGACACACCUGGCCAGGAUCCUGCUGUGGGGCAGGAGUGUGACACCACAGCAGGGCUGGUUCUGGCCGGGCACGAGGGCCUGCCCACGUCCUGGCCUGCUGUGGGCAGCAGCUCACACCAGCAUCUCCUCACUGUGGCCCAACGCAGGAGAAAGGCCAGGGCUUCGGCAGACUAGGGUUGGCCUGGUGGCGGGUUUGGCUGCCUCCAUCCUCUCUGGGUGACAUGGAUCUUAGCUGGAAAGGAAAAGGAGAAGCCAGGAGGGCCCUGGGGAGUGAGUGUCUGUCCCCUCACUCUGGCUCCUCCCGGCCGGGCCCUCUCUCUCUGCAGCUGGCCUAGGUACCAGGAGCACGCCCCAGGAGGCUCCCGGCUUGUCCCCAGGACGCAGCCUGGCUCUGGGUGCCGGCACCUUGUUUCCCACGGCUGGGAGAGCCUGGAGGGCCAGAGGGACAGGGAAGACUUGUUUCCUGGAGGAGUCACCCAACUGCUGUGCUAGAACAGAAUAUUCCGGAGAAGCUGAAAUGGAGGAAGAGAAGCCACGGUCCAGAUGGAAGCGAGUGAGUAACCCUGGCCGUGGGGACAGUGGCUGCCCUCCACGUACCUCAUGGGACCCUGGAGCUUUGGACUAGGGCCACCCAGCAGGAUGUCCACUGAGCCAGCCAAGCCUGGGGCAGGGGGAGAGCUUAGAAGACUCCGGGCCUGAGAUGUCUGGGGAAAGUCCAGGUGGGUGCCGGCAGCCGCAGGUAUGAGGGGGCCACGCAAAGGCCGGUGGGGAGAGAACCUGGUGGAACCCCAGCUGGGCACCGCUGCCUCAUGGGCCGGCACCUGCUUCUCGUGUUGAAUGAAUGAGAAUCAAAAGCAGCAAAACUUAAUGAAAAUAGAACAAAUAGUUUCAUUAAAAUGGGAAAAGACGGAGGCUGAGGGCCUUUGAGUGAGAGGGUAUCCACACACACGUCGUUGCCAAGUUUUCUCUAAAAGGUUGGAGAGAAGCAAAGCUCAUCCUUAGUGGGUGAGGCAGAAUGAGAGACGGCAGCAGGAAGGCGGCGUGGGAUCCGCGAGGCGGCUCUCCCAGGCCCAGGUCUUCUCCUGUGGAAGGGCCUGGUCCACACACCUGUGUUCUGUGCGUCUGUGCCUGCUGAGACACUUCUGUGGACGACGGCGGAACCCUGUGUGGGCUUACAGGCUGGAGGCAGCCAGCCCCACGGCUGGGCGGUCCUGCUCUGCCAGGAGCAGACAUUUGUCUACAGGUCUGCGCUCCACCGCCAGAGCAAAGCCUGCGCCUGGGCGGCCCCAGGGGCUGCCGAUGCGAGCUCAGGGUGCCUACGACUGGCGUCGGGGGUUCACCCAGGGCGCGGCUGGCUGCUGUCUCUUGCAGGAGGCCUGCUCCCUGGCCUCUCAGGAGCCUCUGAGCCAUUCCCUGCAUUCUGACCAGGAACCCUCUAGGGUCACCUCUGGAGCUGUGGCACUGGGCCCAGGUGUCAACGCGGGAGAGCUGAGGGCUCCAGUCCUCGCACUGCGGUGACGAGGGAGGGGUGAGUGUGGGAGGGGGCGCUACUGUUCCCGCCUGCCAUCUCCAAGGUGUUCAGUCAGCCACCGGAGCCUGAGAGUCACCGGGCCUCUGCUCACUGGCCCCCGAGAUGAGGAUGGUCCUGUUGGCUGACCAAGGUGUCCUGGACUCCCCAGGAGCCUGCCGUCCUCUGGGGCCUCGGAGGCCCUCCUCUGCCGGGCACUCGGGCGUGGGGUGUCCUGGCUCAAUCUGCAGGUCUCGACAGGGCUGGCAUGCGGCUCCAAGUCUGUCUCAGUCUCUGGCUGUCCGUCAGUCGGGUUGACCUGGUGCCGCCUUCAGAAAGGGCUUGGUGGGUGCACGCUGGGCGCUGCUGUGGAUCCUGUGGUCUCAGGGACCUCAUGGGUAGAACUGGGCUCAGGGCCUGCCCCCAACUGAGGACGGAGGAGGCGGCUUUCUCCUGGGCUCAGCUGCCUCAGGCCACCAGGAGGCAACAAGAGGUGACUCAGCAAGUGACAGGGACCCUGCCCUCUGCUCGGCACUUUUCAGACUCUGUUGGAGGACUUUGCUGUCCAGAGCAUGGACCACAGGAGCCCAGUUCUCCUCUCCUCUCUGGCGCUCGGGAUCUGUGCCCUUGUUGGUGAUUUUAUUUUUGGUGCCAGAGACUGAAGCCAGGGGCACUUACCUACCAACCCACAUGCCCAGCCCUUUUUAUUUUUUAUUUUAAGACAGGGUCUCGCUGACUUGCCGAGGGUCUCACUACAUUGCUGAGGCUGGCUUUGAACUCAAGGUCCUCCUGCCUCCUGAGCCACUGGGAGGACAGGCGUGUGCCUGGCCAUGGGUGACUUUUAAAUAAAGUCUGCUUCACUGUG